GCGUCAAAGCGUACAGACACACAAAUUCAAAGCGCCCAUGCCACCCCCUGACAGCCCACAAAGCAAAUCUAUUAAUAAAUAGAAGAACUAAUGCUAAAACUAGUAAUAAGAAUUAAUUCUCCUCGCACACCCCUCAAUCAGGAAUAGAUAAGCUACUGAAAGUUAACAAGCUACAAAAAAGAAACAAACCAAUAAACAAGCAAAAAUUCUAAUUUAUUUUGUGACACCGACACAGGAGUGCUAAAAGGACAGAUUAAAAGCCAAACAAGGAAUUCAGCUAAUAGACCUCAACUGUUUACCAAAAACAUAGCCUUUAGCAACACAAGUAUUAAAGGUCUCGCCUGCCCAGUGAUUCUUUCAACGGCCGCGGUAUCCUAACCGUGCAAAGGUAGCGUAAUCAUUUGUCUCCUAAAUAGAGACUUGUAUGAACGGCUAACUGAGGGUCUAACUGUCUCAUAAGGCCAAUCAAUGAAACUGAUCUCUCAGUACAAAAGCUGAGAUAAAAACAUAAGACGAGAAGACCCUGUGGAGCUUAAAAUAUACACUAUUCCUAUUUUCCACUCAGCUACGGAAACAACAAUUUGGAACAUAGUGAAACCUUUUUAGUUGGGGCGACUUUGGAAUAAAAAAAAUCUUCCAUGACAAGGGCUACCCCUAUAAAGGCCCACAAGCCAAAAUAAUUUUUUUUGACCCAGACAUCUGAUCAAC
rnacentral:rRNA from 1 species